rnacentral:rRNA from 1 species
AGAGUUUGAUCAUGGCUCAGGAUGAACGCUGGCGGCGUGCCUAACACAUGCAAGUCGAACGAAGCGCCUGAUCAGAUUUCUUCGGAAUGAAGAUUUAGCGACUGAGUGGCGGACGGGUGAGUAACGCGUGGGCAACCUGCCUCAUACAGGGGGAUAACAGCCGGAAACGGCUGCUAAUACCGCAUAAGCGCACAGGACCGCAUGGUCCGGUGUGAAAAACUCCGGUGGUAUGAGAUGGGCCCGCGUCUGAUUAGCCAGUUGGCGGGGCAGCGGCCCACCAAAGCGACGAUCAGUAGCCGACCUGAGAGGGUGACCGGCCACAUUGGGACUGAGACACGGCCCAAACUCCUACGGGAGGCAGCAGUGGGGAAUAUUGCACAAUGGGGGAAACCCUGAUGCAGCGACGCCGCGUGAGCGAAGAAGCAUUUCGGUAUGUAAAGCUCUAUCAGCAGGGAAGAAGAAAGUGACGGUACCUGACUAAGAAGCACCGGCUAAAUACGUGCCAGCAGCCGCGGUAAUACGUAUGGUGCAAGCGUUAUCCGGAUUUACUGGGUGUAAAGGGAGCGCAGGCGGUACGGCAAGUCCGAUGUGAAAGCCCGGGGCUCAACCCCGGUACUGCAUUGGAAACUGUCGGACUAGAGUGUCGGAGGGGUAAGCGGAAUUCCUAGUGUAGCGGUGAAAUGCGUAGAUAUUAGGAGGAACACCAGUGGCGAAGGCGGCUUACUGGACGACAACUGACGCUGAGGCUCGAAAGCGUGGGGAGCAAACAGGAUUAGAUACCCUGGUAGUCCACGCCGUAA